rnacentral:rRNA from 1 species
GAUCAUGGCUCAGGAUGAACGCUAGCUACAGGCUUAACACAUGCAAGUCGAGGGGCAGCAUGGUCUUAGCUUGCUAAGGCCGAUGGCGACCGGCGCACGGGUGAGUAACGCGUAUCCAACCUGCCUUACACUCUUGGACAGCCUUCUGAAGGGGAGAUUAAUACAAGAUGUUAUCAUGAGUAAGCAUUUUCGCAUAAUUAAAGGUUUACCGGUGUAAGAUGGGGAUGCGUU